rnacentral:rRNA from 1 species
CGGCACGGGUGAGUAACACGUAUCCAACCUGCCGUCUACUCUUGGCCAGCCUUCUGAAAGGAAGAUUAAUCCAGGAUGGCAUCAUGAGUUCACAUGUCCGCAUGAUUAAAGGUAUUUUCCGGUAGACGAUGGGGAUGCGUUCCAUUAGAUAGUAGGCGGGGUAACGGCCCACCUAGUCAACGAUGGAUAGGGGUUCUGAGAGGAAGGUCCCCCACAUUGGAACUGAGACACGGUUCAA